UUAAGUGAUUUACCUAAGACAUUGGCUUGUUUGUGGUAGAACCAGGAGAUGGCAGCCUUCACUCCUUAAGGCCACAUUCAGCGUUAUUUUCACUACUGUUUUUGUUUUUACCUUUUUUUUUUAAGGUCUUGUCUUUGACCCCCUUCUGGACUGGAAGCAGGAAGAUGAACCUCCCCAGAUCACACAGCUACUAUGGCAAAGCUAGUUUUUAAAGUCAGGACUUACAGCUCUUAAACCUCUGCGUUUUAUACAGAUUCUUCAAUACUAGAACAUUUACCUCACUUGUAAAAAGAGGUGAAUAGAGCUGCCUCGUGUUCACUCAUUCUAGAUGUCACAAGGCUCCACCUGAGGGCUCUAGCAGCCUUGAAUUCCCCAGCACAAGAGCCAAAGCUUUUUACUUCUUGUUAAGAUGAAGUGAUGACCUCCGAGCCUUGUAUAUCAUGGACCAACAAAUUUCUCCAGGGAAACAGAUUUGGAUCACUGACAGCCACGUCC